GCUCUCCUUCACCCUUCAAGCUGACAAUUUCUGCAACUCCUAAAAGCACCCCAGCAGAGAUGCAUCCUCCAGAUAAAAUGCUCUGCUCAUCGCUGGACUGGCACAGCCCUUCAGCCUCUCUCAGACAUUAUUUUAGCGUGGUGUAGAAGGAACUGGGUUACUGCUGAGCACUGGAGGGCAGAAGUGGAGAGAGGAAUACAAUGGGGCAAUGCUGCUGGCAACUGUGAGAUCUCGCGAAGAAUUGGCGUUCAACCUUUUGCAGGAUACAAACUGCUCCUCUUGCUAAAUAAGGAAGAGACAGUGACUUUGAGAGUGGGAUGAUGCAAUUUUAGUUGCAUUCUCCCAGGACAAAGACAUGAAGUAAGUAACAUCCUAAUGUAAAACUUUUUCUGUUUGCAGUUGUGAAAGUGCCUGUAUUGAAAUAUAAGUUUUUAUCUAGAUAUGAAGCUGUCAGCAUUCUGCACAUGCCAUAUAUAUGCUUAUAGAAAAGCACAUGCCUGCUUGAUAAGAAUACAUUUAGGCCAUGCUGUCUUAAGCACAGUGGUAAUAUUUGCUGCAAUGUAUGCCUUACUUUCAAUUGCCUGACAUUCACAGAUUAUUUGACUGAGGAAACCAUAGAGAAAAAAGCA
rnacentral:lncRNA from 1 species